CGGUUUACACCUUAAUUCGUGUCGGGGAACGAGCAAAAUUGAAAAAAAGGGCACAUAAACGCCGCUGCCGUUUAAAGAUCAAUUUCCUGCAACGAGCAAUAUAAGAAACGCGAUUAUAAUUAAAUCAAUGCGUGCUCGUAGCUGCAGUGUAAACAGUUUAUAAGGUAGGUAGAUACGUAAAAAGGAUAUAAUAAAUCAAAUUACAAGAUUGCCAUUAUGUUAUAAACUGACAGAAAA